rnacentral:tRNA from 1 species
GCGGACAUAGUAUAAUCAAAACGCUAGAUUGUGAUUCUAGAAAUAGGAGUUAAACCCUCCUUAUCCGCC